AUACUCUCCUCAAUACUCUUCCUCUUUUCCUCAAUACUCUCCCUCUUCCCCCAACUCUCCUCAAUACACUCCCUCUUCUCCCCAAUACUCUCCCUCUUCCCCACAGUACUCUGACAUGGAGUCUACAUGCUCCAAUUCUCCAUCUCCCUCUCUCGUAUUCUCCCCUCUCUCCGUCUCACUACUCUCCCCAUUCAUCCUAUAGUUAUUGAUUUUUUGUUUUUCUAUUAAAUUAAUAUUAUUUUGUAAUUUCUUUAUAGUUAGAAAAUUUAAUUUUAGUUAUUUCUUAACAAUUUUUUCCUUGUAAUCAGUGCCAUUAUGAAUUUUAAUAAGAAUUAUUUCUUUAUUCUCUCUUUGUUGUUCACUUGCAGGGGUAUCAGCGUCUCAUGGAGGCAUACAUUUAGGAUGCCCAACGCGCUCGCAGAUCUCAUGGAAAAUGACGGAGCUGACAUCACAAACUGUCUUGGACUACCUCUUGGCUAGCUGAUGAACCUUUUUCUCCUUUUUGUUCACUACUCACAUACAUGUUGUUAAUAGGGUGUUAUAUAAUCCCUUGCGGAGCCAACUCAUUGUUGUCACAGUAUUUGGCUUUUUGGUAAAGGGAUUACCUUACCCGUUAGGGUUCUGGUAGAUCCCAAUUUUUGUAAGGGACGCUAGACCCAACACCUGUAUUUACUUUUUUUUUAUUCAAUGGAACAGUUAACUUUCUGAAAAAAAACAUGAAAAAUUAAUGUGGUUUGUCUCUACAUUUUGCAAUCUACUGAAAUACAAUGUUCUGAAAUUGAGUAUAAUUGGAAUUGUAGACAAGGAAAAUUCUCUAGAGCUUUGUUGUUUGUUUCUUACAUGAUUGUAUUCAGAAAAAAUGGACCAAGGUUUGCAAGCAAAUUAUACUUUAUCCUUGUUUGAUAAUUGUAGGACCUGUUUUCUGUUUUGGGCAUUCUGAUUUUGCCUUUAGCAGUGUGAUGUGGGUCAUAUAAUUUGCAUCAAGUGGAGCCCAUGCCAGAUAGAGUGAAGCCCUUCCCUCUCUUGGUUGCUGGUGCAAUUUUCUAUGCUGAUCUCUCUCUCUCUCUCUCUCUCUCGCUCGAGAAUAACGCAUACAUGACACUGUUUCUCAGGUGAUUUUUGACAUUGUUGAGGCUUCCUGUGUUUACUUGUUUUUUUAAAAUUUCAUGCUUUUGAUGGGUUCAGUUUCUGUGUGUGAUAUAGGCAUUCUUUAUAGGCUUCUUGAAUGUGGAAAGCAGCAUCGGAGUGUCACUAAAUAUGGAUGCUUAACUGAAUUUAACCUCCACUGUGGUGUUUCCCACUUGGGAUGAUGCUGGGAUGUGAAUUUGAAUGGUCAUAGCUGAUGUUUAUUAAGCACUUGGUGAAAACCAUGUCCUAGAUUGCCACCAUUCUGGAAAUGGUCAUUUAUGAUUUGAAUUUGACCUCUAAAACUUUGAGUGGGUUAUCAUAUUAACCUGCUAACUUCUCUUACUGGUUAUCUAUAAUGUCCCCUUGAAAUGUUAGAGGCAAAGCUACACUUGAUACAAAGUUUUGUGCAUUUUUAUGGCAAUCUGUUCGAGGAACGGUAACGUGGCACCUGCUCUGUUUGUGUUGGAGCCCCAUUAAAUUUGCUUUCGAUUUUGGCCCUCCUUCAACUCUCCUUGUACUAAAUUUCUCUCUCUAUCAUUCUUCUGUUUUUAUAUGAAAUUAUGAAUUCUAUACUACCACGUUGGUGCUGGUCUCAUCAACACAAGAACCACCUUCGCUUACUUCCAAAAUAUUUAGAAUUUAGAUUUCAGAGAACUUCUCUUCCCACUCACCAAAGAAAAACACACACACACAGAUGUUUCCAAUUGGAUGUCUAUAGGAAACGAGUUGCAAAGGAAACUGCAGUUACAAAUCAAGGAGCAUGCAAGGUACCCCCAAAAGAUGGCCGAUGAACGACAGAUAUGCUGUGAGAAUCUAGUCAAAAGCCAGAAUUUGUACAUUCCUUUUCAGGGAAACAUCUCAUAGAUCUUGAAACAUUGAAUCAAGUUUAAAUUAUGAACUUUUGGACAGGACUCCAUCAAGAUUCAGUUUAGGAGAUGGCCAAGAAGCUUGAAUGAGCUGGUGGCAGUCUUAGACUGCAUCUGGGUUGUGGGUCUUACUUUAGCAUGAGACAGUGAUGCCAUCAGAGUUGGGUCAAGUCAAUUUAUCAAUAUAUAUUGUCUGGGGUUCCUCUUAAACGGGUAAACUAUCACAAUUUACCCCUAAAUUUUCAAGCUUAUGCAGUAUUUACUUCAUGGUGUAUAUAUCAUGUUCAAUACCUAUUGCUUUUAUCAUGGCUGAAAUGUUGAGAUCUUGAGAUUUUAAUUACUUUUGUAAAGCAUUUAAGCAUUUUUUGCUUUUGUUCCUUAUGACAAUGGUUCAAAAUAUCAGUUGGUUUACCUUCUCUUAAUUUAAUGGUAACAUGGUUUGGAACAGUUGGCAUGAUGUGGAUGUGGAGGUGCGACUGGUGCAACUGCUCCUACCUGAGUCCCGAACUCUUGACCAUCAUCCAUGGGGCUCCUAGUCGAUACACUUCGCAUGGAUUGCAGUCCAGUUUUUACCCAGCUUCUAGCUCUUAUGGCUACUCUCUCUCUUUCUCUCUAUCUCUCUCUCUCCCUCUGUUCGUUUUUUGUUUCUGUUUCGAUGGGUCCCUUGUUUCUACUCUGGUUCUAUGUGUAUUAAUGCAUAUUGUUUGUUGAUGGGUGAUUGGUCUCUCUCUCUCUCUAUAUAUAUAUCUCUCUGUCUCUAUAUCUCUCUCUCCUGUUUGCUUUUUGUUUUGUUUUGAUGGGUUCCCUGUUUCUACUUUGUUUCUGUGUAUUAAUGCAUACUGGUUGUUGAUGGGUGAUCUCUCUCUCUCUCUCCCUUUGUUCCUUGUUUUUUGAUGAGAUGCUCUGUCUUUGUAUAGUUCUUACUUCUAAGUUAUCUGAAAUGAAUAAUGUGAAGGCUAAUAAAUCUGCACACAAAGAGUACGUUCGUGACUUGAGGUACGUGUUUGUGACUCUCUCAAAAAUUUUUUUUUUUUUAACUUUUGAUCGUUGAACUUUUAGUUGCACGCAUACAUGUAUUUAUUAAUCAUCCAUGGGCAAUAUAUGGACUUAUUCUUUUUCACAGUUUCUCAUGGACGGACCUGAAGUUUUGCUCUUGCUCGGAUGAUGAUACUAUUAAAGUAUGGGACUUUGCUCGAUGCCAAGAAAAGCGGAGCUGGAAAUUGUACCUUACUUAUCGAGUUGGCUUUGGAGAACCUGUAAUUUUCUCUGUUUAACGUACUAAAUUUUGGGAAUGGGGUUGAGGUUGUGGUAGUAACACCAGUUGAGCCUCCUCAGCUACUGGUUUAGGUUUUUAUUCCCACUAACGCAUUUGAAAAUUGCUAAUUAUUUCUAAAAAUGGGUAGGGGCCUGUAUUUUCUGUGUUUAACAUAUUAGUACAGCGCCGUGCAAAGCAUGGCAUGUACCAAGAUCAAUGAACUAUGGAAAAAUGUUCAAAUCCAAGCAAUUUGUAGUAAAAUUUGAAAAAUAAUAUGAACUAAUGCAGUAGCUUUUUGGUAGAGAAAACUUUCAUUGUUAAGGAGAUUAUAUUCAUUGUUGAAGCUGAUAUAGUAAGCAUCAAUAUACAAAUAGAUCAGGCUUCUGAUGAAUUAAAAUAAACUCCUGGAACUCUGAAGUCUGAAGCUUUUAAAGAUAAAUCUAGAGGAAAAGGUAGUCUAAUCGAAGUACUCUAUAGAAAAAAGUAAAGAACAAAAAAACAAAGAAAAACUAAAAAAUGGUCAAAUUAAUAGAAACAAAACGUGCAUUACCAGUGAGGUCGUUUGCAUACUCAUUGUUAAACUUGCCAAGAUGUACAUACAAAUUGAUUAUUUCAUGUAACUAUUAGAUUCUUGUUAUCAUGUGCUAUAGAUAUCCCAUUUGGGGAUUCCUUUGUGUGUGUGUGUAACUGGACUCUACUUCUAUGUGUUGGGUAUCUAUAUCCUAUAUGCUCUGUCAUAUUAGGUUUCUCAUAUCUAACCCUUAACAGUGGCUUUAUAUAUGAUAAUAGAUAAAAUAAUAAAGGGAUUGUGGCAAAUAAUACAAUUGAGACCACUGGAUGUACUUAAUCCCCUGGACUAUGUAGUUCAAUAAGACACUUUUACUAAGCACAAUCAACUGACUAAUAAGCCUUUGUAAUGGGCUCCAUCAAUUUCCUACUCUGCUUCUCAAGUAUCAAAGCUAAAUUAUAUCCAUUCAUGGAGAACAUUGGUCCGGAUUGCAAGUUUAAGCAUACCUUAUUCUGAUACAACUACCCCAGUACUUUUGUGAGCGCACAAAUGCUUCACUGGCCCUGUCAUUUCCUUCUUAACUGCUGAUCCGGUCCUUCCCCUAUUGUCUUUCUUGUAGGUACCUCUUAAUACAUUAUUUAAAUCUGCACAUCAUUCGUUAUCUCCUUGGGGCUUCACCUUAUGGACUCAGGCCCUUAUCCUUGUGAAAUACCCAAAAGCCUCCAACGAUGUAUUAAACUCUACCCAUACUCCUCCGUGAGAAUCUAUUAGCAUAUGAUUACUUCGCAUUUCGCAUUUGGUUGUUAGUUCUUUUUAUGGCUCAUUACGUAGUUAUAUGCAAUUAUUUAUCCAUUGGAACUCUUGUUUGGCCACACUAGAAAAGAUGCAUGUGAUGGGGUUUGGAGAACAUCUCUCCUCCAAUUCAAAACUACAUCUUGAUUGCUUUAGAGCUGCCCUUUAGAUUAUUUAUCUUGUUUAUAUCAUUUAUUCUAUUGAAACUCCUGCUGUUUAGUUUUCUUAUAGCUCAUUGCUUGGUUAUAUGCGAUUGUUUAUCUGUUGAAACUCCUGUUGGGCUAAUAUUCUUUCCUUGGUGAGUGUAAGAUCACUAUUAGAUUUUUUUCUCGAUUGUACUUCAUAUUAGAUUUAUUGUGUAUGCACUAAACUGUGUUUUUUACGUCUUCCAUAAUUAUUUCUUAUUUUUUGGGUCGCAGUAUUUUUUAUUUCAUUGAUACAUUUUCUCAUUUUCUUGUGCGAUCCUCAUUUUCCUUCUUUCUAUUUGUCCUUCCUUAUCAUCUUCGUUCUCCUCAAGCCGUCAUACAUUUUCUCCUUGUUCCAAACAUUCUUCUGAAACCUAAUCUAGAAAUAUGUUUACACCCUUGCUAAGAAGUUCUUUGAUAACUGCACCUGUUGCUUUGAAUUGGAAGAUGCAGGCCUUGGAUGAUACAUUUUAUUAGUUUUAUCAUGUUAAAGGGAUGAUACAUGCAAUUAUUGCAAACAAGGGAUAACCUGAGAUUCUUUUUUGUGUGUAAACUCAGACAGGUCACCUAUGGGAUGUAAAGAGUGUUGACUGGGACCCUACAAAAUCUCUGUUUGUUUCAGGUUCGGAUGUAAGAAUUGUGUUACAUAUCCUGCACUUUGCUUCAUUGCUAUGCAGUGCUGUGAUGAUGUUUUAUGUACCGGAACGGUUAUAGGUCGCAAGGAAAGCCUUGUGAAACUUUGGGAUGCAAAAUUAGGGAAAGAAUUUUGUUCGUUGUGGGUUGGAACACAUUUUCACUGAAAGAUGAGAUUUGCUUCCAUGAAAAUUUAAUGAUUCACUUCCAUUUAAAUAUAAUCAAUACAACUUGGCGUUUAUAAAUGUGCAGACAUGGUCACAAGAAUUGGGUGUUUUUUGUCAAAUGGAAUCAAAAUUGUAACUGGGUGCUCACUUCUUCAAAAUAUCAUAUCAUUAAAGUCGGCAUCUUUUAUGCGGCUUCUGUAAGUUCAUUAUUUUACCUUUCUAGGUUGCUCAUGUUUUCUAAUGUUGCAUCUUGAAUAUGGCUGUAUUAAAUAAUCUGGUGGUUGCCCGAGAUCUGGCAAUUUCGAUGACUAUCUAUGGCCUACUUUGAAUUAAUGUGUUCUUUUAGCUGUGAGCUUAUCUUCUUGUUCUUGAUGAAAC
rnacentral:lncRNA from 1 species